ACCCUACGCAGAUAGCAAGAGAGAAAUCUUAGCUCGCUGGAUUUGAUCCAUUUUAUGUCCUAGAAAACAUUGUACAGGUCACACUGAACAGCAGAUUGUUGUCUCAAGCCAGU
ensembl:lncRNA